rnacentral:rRNA from 1 species
UACAGAGGGGGCAAGCGUUGUUCGGAAUUACUGGGCGUAAAGGGCGCGUAGGCGGCCUGUUAAGUCGAACGUGAAAUCCCUGGGCUCAACCCCGGAACUGCAUUUGAUACUGCCUUGCUCGAGUACUGGAGAGGAGACUGGAAUUUACGGUGUAGCAGUGAAAUGCGUAGAUAUCGUAAGGAAGACCAGUGGCGAAGGCGAGUCUCUGGACAGUUACUGACACUGAGGCACGAAGGCCAGGGGAGCAAACGGG